rnacentral:piRNA from 1 species
UGCUCUUUUUGUCACCAACUGGAGGUGG